CGUUGCUGGGCAAAUGCCGCACUUUGCAUAUUUGACAAACUGACACUCUGCCACAUUGAGUGUCGAACUCAGCUUGUCAAAUACACGGAGAGAAGCACUGCAGAUC